UACAGAGGGUGCGAGCGUUAAUCGGAAUUACUGGGCGUAAAGCGUGCGUAGACGGUUAUUUAAGUCGGGUGUGAAAGCCCCGGGCUCAACCUGGGAAUUGCAUUCGAGACUGAAUAGCUAGGGUACGGUAGAGGGAAGCGGAAUUUCCGGUGUAGCGGUGAAAUGCGUAGAUAUCGGAAGGAACAUCAGUGACGAAAGCGGCUUCCUGGACCAGUACCGACGUUCAGGCACGAAAGCGUGGGGAGCAAACAGG
rnacentral:rRNA from 1 species